UAGUUUGAUCCUGGCUCAGGACGAACGCUGACGGUGUGCUUUAGACAUGCAAGUCGAACGAGAAAGCCCUUCGGGGUGAGUAAAGUGGCGAACGGGUGCGUAACACGUGGGUAAUCUACCCCUCGCAGAGGGACAACCGGGGGAAACCCCGGCUAAUACCUCGUACGCUCUACAAACCGCAUGGUAAGUAGAGGAAAGGUAGCUUCGGCCAUCCGGCGAGGGAUGAGCCCGCGGUACAUUAGCUAGUUGGUGAGGUAACGGCUCACCAAGGCUACGAUGUAUAGCUGGUCUGAGAGGAUGAUCAGCCACACUGGGACUGAGACACGGCCCAGACUCCUACGGGAGGCAGCAGUCGGGAAUCUUGCACAAUGGGCGAAAGCCUGAUGCAGCAACACCGUGUGAGCGAUGAAGGCCUUCGGGUCGUAAAGCUCUGUUGUUAGGGACGAAGGGCGAAGGGUUAAUAGCCCCUAGCCUGACGGUACCUUUCGAGGAAGCCCCGGCUAACUACGUGCCAGCAGCCGCGGUAAUACGUAGGGGGCGAGCGUUGUCCGGAAUUAUUGGGCGUAAAGAGCGUGUAGGCGGCCAGAUAAGUCUGCUGUGAAACCUUGGGGCUCAACCCCAAGCGUGCAGUGGAUACUGUUAGGCUAGAGGAUGGUAGAGGCGAGUGGAAUUCCCGGUGUAGCGGUGAAAUGCGCAGAUAUCGAGAGGAACACCAGUAGCGAAGGCGGCUCGCUGGGCCAUUCCUGACGCUGAGACGCGAAAGCUAGGGGAGCGA
rnacentral:rRNA from 1 species